CCACGGGGGGCAGCAGUGGGGAAUAUUGGACAAUGGGCGAAAGCCUGAUCCAGCCAUGCCGCGUGUGUGAAGAAGGCCUUCGGGGUGUAAAGCACUUUCAGUGGGGAAGAAAGCCUUGGGGCUAAUACCCUCGAGGAAGGACAUCACCCACAGAAGAAGCACCGGCUAACUCCGUGCCAGCAGCCGCGGUAAUACGGAGGGUGCGAGCGUUAAUCGGAAUUACUGGGCGUAAAGCGCGCGUAGGCGGUCUGAUAAGCCGGUUGUGAAAGCCCCGGGCUCAACCUGGGAACGGCAUCCGGAACUGUCAGGCUAGAGUGCAGGAGAGGAAGGUAGAAUUCCCGGUGUAGCGGUGAAAUGCGUAGAGAUCGGGAGGAAUACCAGUGGCGAAGGCGGCCUUCUGGACUGACACUGACGCUGAGGUGCGAAAGCGUGGGUAGCAAACAGGAUUAGAUACCCCGGUAGUC
rnacentral:rRNA from 1 species